UACGUAGGGGGCAAGCGUUGUCCGGAUUCAUUGGGCGUAAAGAGCGUGUAGGCGGCCAGGCAGGUCGGUUGUGAAAACUUGAGGCUCAACCUUCAGAGGUCGACCGAAACCAUCUGGCUAGAGUCCGGGAGAGGAGAGUGGAAUUCCUGGUGUAGCGGUGAAAUGCGCAGAUAUCAGGAAGAACACCCGUGGCGAAAGCGGCUCUCUGGAACGGUACUGACGCUGAGACGCGAAAGCGUGGGGAGCGAACAGG
rnacentral:rRNA from 1 species